ACGAACGCUGGCGGCGUGCUUAACACAUGCAAGUCGAACGGAAAGGCCCUGCUUGCCGGGUGCUCGAGUGGCGAACCGGUGAGUAACACGUGGGUGAUCUGCCCCUUACUUUGGGAUAAGCCUGGGAAACUGGGUCUAAUACUGGAUAGGACCAUGCUGUAGGUGGUGUGGUGGAAAGAUUAGUUUCGGUAAGGGAUGAGCUCGCGGCCUAUCAGCUUGUUGGUGGGGUAAUGGCCUACCAAGGCGUCGACGGGUAGCCGGCCUGAGAGGGUGGACGGCCACAUUGGGACUGAGAUACGGCCCAGACUCCUACGGGAGGCAGCAGUGGGGAAUAUUGCACAAUGGGCGCAAGCCUGAUGCAGCGACGCCGCGUGGGGGAUGACGGCCUUCGGGUUGUAAACUCCUUUCAGCCAUGACGAAGCCCUUGUGGUGACGGUAGUGGUAGAAGAAGCACCGGCUAACUACGUG
rnacentral:rRNA from 1 species